CCCUGUUUUAGAAAAAUGGUCUUUCAGAAUUAAAAUGUUGAUCAUCAUCUCUUUAUUUCCAUAAUCAAAUCAGGAAGCAUUGAUAUAUUUAAGUCCUGACAUACUGAGACUGAAUGGACAUUUUGUCAGGAAUGCAUAGUACAGUUCAGCGAAAGGAAUGCAAAUGUGGCUCUAAUAUACUUUUGUAUUCAUAUUUCUGAUCCGUCUGUAGGCUGGUGUGAUUGUCACUAUUUAGGAGAUUGCCUCAGCCAUGCCCUUUUACCUAGUUAGUCUAUUACUAUACCUGUUUCAAAGCAUAUGGUGUGACUUGAUCUGAAAAAGAUCAAAGGUUUCUUCAUUAAAUGUAUGCAGCUUCA